rnacentral:rRNA from 1 species
UACGUAGGGUGCAAGCGUUGUCCGGAAUUAUUGGGCGUAAAGGGUGCGUAGGCGGUUUGAUAAGUCACAUGUGAAAUCUUCGGGCUCAACCCGAAGUCUGCAUGCGAAACUGUCGGGCUUGAGUAUGGGAGAGGUGAGUGGAAUUUCCGGUGUAGCGGUGAAAUGCGUAGAUAUCGGAAGGAACACCUGUGGCGAAAGCGGCUCACUGGACCAUAACUGACGCUGAUGCACGAAAGCGUGGGGAGCAAACAGG